rnacentral:rRNA from 1 species
GACAGAGGGGGCAAGCGUUGCUCGGAAUUACUGGGCGUAAAGGGCGCGUAGGCGGAAUGGCAAGUCGGUCGUGAAAUCCUUCGGCUCAACCGAAGAACGUCGAUCGAAACUGCCGUUCUUGAGGAUUGCAGAGGAGACUGGAAUUCCCGGUGUAGCGGUGAAAUGUGUAGAGAUCGGGAGGAACACCGGUGGCGAAGGCGGGUCUCUGGGCAGUAACUGACGCUGAGGAGCGAAAGCGUGGGGAGCGAACAGG